UCCAUACAGUCUUCAAUUAACAGACAUCUGAAUGAAAAUUCUGAGACUGAUGUGAACAUUUUAACCGAUAAAGACUUUCAGCACUCAAGGUACGUUCUGUCAGCUAAAAAGAAAGAUCUAAAGAGCAAAGGUUUUGGGAACAGAAAAUGAAAGGCAGAUGCUUUCACACAAGAGGAAAUUGAUCAUCUCUAUGACAGAAAUUUGCUUGGAACAAGUAAUCCAGAUGCUUUGAUUAAUACAGUGUGGCUAAAUAAUUCAAUGCAUUUUGGCAUGAGAAGCCGCCAAGAACAUCAAGAUAUGAUGUUUGGUGAUAUUGAGAUGAAAGCAACAUAAGGAGGAGUCCAGUAUCUUGAAUUUACUGCGCGCCAAACAAAAACAAGAAAGGGAGAGGGAAGUGCAAGGCCAUUUGCUCCAAAAAUGUUUGCAAUUGCAGAUAAUCCAAGAUGUCCUGUGAAAACAUUCAAGACUUAUAUUCAAAGAAGGCCUACUGAAUCAUUAAAGCCAGACAGUAAAUUUUAUUUGUCAAUUCUUCCUCGUUAUCACAACAAGGGUCAUGAUGAUUUUGACACUGAAAACACAAAUAUAUGGUACAGUAUGCAGCCAAUGGGCAAGAAUAAACUAGGUGAAUUAGUCAAAGUUUUGUCAUAGAAAGGAGGAUUAACUGGUAGAAAAGUUAAUCAUUCAGCUAGAAAAACAACAGUGACAUCAUUGCUGCACUCCCAUGUAGAGGCAACAACAGUGAUGCAGUUAACUGGACACAAAAAUGUAGCAUCUAUAAAUGAUUACAGUUCUGCAUCUUUAGAUCAACAAAUUAAAAUGUCUAACAUAUUGUCAGAUAUUGGAUC